rnacentral:rRNA from 1 species
GUCUACGGCCAUACCACCCUGAAUGCACCUGAUCUCAGAAGCUAAGCAGGAUUGAGCCUGGUUAGUACUUAGAUGGGAGAAGUUAACU